GCGUUAAUCGGAAUUACUGGGCGUAAAGGGCGCGUAGGUGGUUAGUUAAGUAAGUUGUGAAAGCCCCGGGCUCAACCUGGGAAUGGCAACUUAAACUGGCUAGCUGGAGUACAUGAGAGGGUAGUGGAAUUUCCGGUGUAGCGGUGAAAUGCGUAGAUAUCGGAAGGAACACCAGUGGCGAAGGCGACUACCUGGCAUGAUACUGACACUGAGGCGCGAAAGCGUG
rnacentral:rRNA from 1 species